rnacentral:rRNA from 1 species
UACGAAGGUCCCAAGCGUUGUUCGGAUUUACUGGGCGUAAAGAGUUCGUAGGCGGCAGGGUAAGUCAGAUGUGAAAUCCCAGGGCUCAACCCUGGAACUGCAUCCGAUACUGCCUUGCUAGAGUAGUGGAGGGGCAUCUGGAAUUCACGGUGUAGCAGUGAAAUGCGUAGAUAUCGUGAGGAACACUAGUGGCGAAGGCG